AGACGGGACAAUAUAAAAAUAACCAAAAAAACCCCAAAACAAUUAAGGAUACAUCAAUGGAUAAAUUAUUAGGUAGGAAAAAAGCUUAUCUAUGGGGUUAACUAGUGUGGCUAAACCGGGGACGGCAGGUAUUGGCAAACCAAGUAAACAGGCAGGUCUGACCCAGGGCCGGUGGGUGCUGCGGCCUUCUAGCAGCAAGACCGGCCCUUUUAAUAUCAGCAGCCAGUGUUGGAUGUGAC